GUAAUCUGCCCUGUACUCUGGGAUAAGCCCGGGAAACUGGGUCUAAUACCGGAUAGGACACAGCCUCGCAUGGGGGUGUGUGGAAAGUUCCGGCGGUACAGGUUGAGCCCGCGGCCUAUCAGCUUGUUGGUGGGGUGAUGGCCCACCAAGGCGACGACGGGUAGCCGGCCUGAGAGGGUGACCGGCCACACUGGGACUGAGACACGGCCCAGACUCCUACGGGAGGCAGCAGUGGGGAAUAUUGCACAAUGGGCGCAAGCCUGAUGCAGCGACGCCGCGUGGGGGAUGACGGCCUUCGGGUUGUAAACCCCUUUCGCCCGGGACGAAGCGCAAGUGACGGUACCGGGAGAAGAAGCACCGGCCAACUACGUGCCAGCAGCCGCGGUAAUACGUAGGGUGCAAGCGUUGUCCGGAAUUAUUGGGCGUAAAGAGCUCGUAGGCGGUGUGUCACGUCUGCCGUGAAAACCUGCGGCUUAACCGUGGGCGGGCGGUGGAUACGGGCAUCACUUGAGUUCGGUAGGGGAGACUGGAAUUCCUGGUGUAGCGGUGGAAUGCGCAGAUAUCAGGAGGAACACCGGUGGCGAAGGCGGGUCUCUGGGCCGAAACUGACGCUGAGGAGCGAAAGCGUGGGGAGCGAACAGGAUUAGAUACCCUGGUAGUCCACGCCGUAAACGUUGGGCGCUAGGUGUGGGGCGCUGUUCACGUGUCCCGUGCCGUAGC
rnacentral:rRNA from 1 species